rnacentral:lncRNA from 1 species
AAUUAUUUUUCCAUGCAUACUAUAAAAUAAAUAAAUGGGGAAUGAGGUGGGGAUGGAGAAAUCAUUUCCCACAUGGGAAUUUCCCAUCCCCACCCCAUUAAUUUAUUGGAGGAUGGGGUGGAGGCAAAAUUUUGAAUGGAGUGCGGAAUAGGGUAGAUCCCCACUCGCCCCACCCCAUUGCCAUCUCUAGUAAAAACACACUAUAUAGGGAUAGCAAUGGGUUGGGUCGAGUGAAUGACCCAAUAGUAAAAAUAAAGAGCCGAGCUCGACAAAAGCUCAACCAUUUUAACUUGGCUAGACUUAAAUUGGGUCAAUAUUUUUUUAAAUUUUUAUUUAUUUUUUUUAUAUUUGGCAGCUAUUGAACGAAUUUGGCAAAAAAUUCAACAUCUACGUCCCACACAUAGACAAGAAAAUUCAAAACCUUAUCACUAAUUUAAUAAAAAUAAAUAAAAUUCCCACAACAAUCAAAGUCACAAAAAAAAGCAUAAGAAAAACAAAACAACAAGAAUGCGUUUGAAAAAAAAAUUGAUAGUGGUGUACCGUUGUGGGUGGGUAAUGGCGACACAAUGUAGCGGUCAAAUUAAAUUGAAUUUGACCGGUGAAAUGCAAUGGCUAGUUAAUGUUGUGGUGCGGACGUGCGGUGGCGGCUUGCACCCUAAAGCAGUGCUGCUGUCAUGAUCUAAUCUAGACCUAUCAAGAUAUUGUUCGCUUUGGCCUCAAGAAGGUUUGCACGGUUUUGUUUCUAGGGCGCCCAUACUCCCCAAAACGCGUCUUACCAAUUAAGGUAUGGAUCACCCCUUAUAAACUCAGCAUCUCUCUUGUGCUUUGUCGAUGUGGGAUUUGCUUAGGGUAUUACCCCUCUUAGGGACUCAGCGUUCUCGCUGAAGUUUGGCUCACCAUCAUUCAAGAGGACAUGUGGAGCCGCUUUGACACCAUCUAUUAUGACUCAACCCAGACCUGACAAGAUAUUGUCCGCUUUCGGCCUUAACAAAGCCCGCACGGUUUUGUUUAUAGGACUCUCAUAUACCUCAAAAUGCGUCUUACCAAUUAAGGUGUGGAUCACCCCUUAUAAACUCAACAUCUCUCCCGUACUUUGUCGAUGUAAGAUUUGCUUAGAGUGUUACAUCGCGUUCCCUUGAGACGUGAGAAUGUGCCUUAAGUCGUUGAGCAUGUGGUGUGUUACUGUUUUGAGAGUGUAUCACAUGCGUGAAUGUGUAAUGACAAAUGCAUGUGCGUGAGUGUUUUUUUUUUUUUUUCCAAGUAUUUGGGUCGGGUUGGGGCAUGCAUAGCUCAAACCCUAGCCCGAAUUUGAUCGGGCCUUAAAAUUUGAGCCCAAGCCCGACCAUUGACCCCUUAAAUUUAGGUCAAAGUCCCAAAAUUUUGGGGUAGACAACAAUCAAGUUAGGACAUAUGUAUACCAAAAAA